rnacentral:rRNA from 1 species
AGUGAACGCUGGCGGUAGGCCUAACACAUGCAAGUCGAACGGCAGCACAGUAAGAGCUUGCUCUUACGGGUGGCGAGUGGCGGACGGGUGAGGAAUACAUCGGAAUCUACUUUUUCGUGGGGGAUAACGUAGGGAAACUUACGCUAAUACCGCAUACGACCUACGGGUGAAAUCAGGGGAUCUUCGGACCUUGCGCGAUUGAAUGAGCCGAUGUCGGAUUAGCUAGUUGGCGGGGUAAAGGCCCACCAAGGCGACGAUCCGUAGCUGGUCUGAGAGGAUGAUCAGCCACACUGGAACUGAGACACGGUCCAGACUCCUACGGGAGGCAGCAGUGGGGAAUAUUGGACAAUGGGCGCAAGCCUGAUCCAGCCAUACCGCGUGGGUGAAGAAGGCCUUCGGGUUGUAAAGCCCUUUUGUUGGGAAAGAAAAGCAGCGGGUUAAUACCCCGCUGUUCUGACGGUACCCAAAGAAUAAGCACCGGCUAACUUCGUG